CUUGACACAGACCGGUUGUUUUGCUUCAUAAGACCUCAAUAUAUCACCAAGAGCCACAGGUAUUCAUUUUGUGUUCCUUGAUAUGCUUUUCUUGAUAUUGCCACCAACUUACAUUUUCUGAAUCACCAAAGACCAGGGUUUCAGCUAAAAAUCUUCUUUACUGUUCUAAUGAAGAAAAAAAGUCACCUAAAUCUUGGAUGUCCUGAGGGGGAGUAAUAUAACAACAAAUGUUCCUUUUUGGGUGAACUAUACCUUUAACCCUAAAUAGCAAAUGUUAAUUCACAACUUGGUUCCUCAAAUCCUUACUGCUUUUCUAAGUGCUCAGACUUCGCUUUAGAAUGAACUAUCCUUACAUUUUCUGAAGAAAGCGUGCAAUACUCCCCAUGAUGCUAGCGUGUGGGUGGUUGCCAAGACAUGGCUAUAUGCUUGCUAAGGUCUUCUGAGAUGUGGUUAACAUGUAAAUAGCAGCAUUAGAUCAACUUAGAACAACCUAGCAACCACUAUGAACGUGCUGUGUAAAAAUGCACAAAGAACCACUCGGAACACCUUGCUUUCUUCAGAAAAUGUGAAGAUGUCAUUCAUCAUCAAUCUAUCACUCAGCCGCUUCCAUUCUUCUGCUUAACAGUCAUUUUCCACCACUUUUAAUGCAGUUUAAUAUCCUGCGUCAGAAGUGAGACAAACCACAAGCUUUUAUUGAUUUCCAGAGUCUGUGGCCGCAUCAAAUAUUCAUCCUCUUUUGUCCCAGCACGAGCACACAGAGAACGGCUUUGUCUGAUCUGCAGUAAACACUGUAAAUCAAUCUCUGCGGUUUCUUGCCUCUCUUAAGAAGCCCAUCUCCGCCUGGUGCACUUCAGGCUCCCGCAUGAACACAUUAGUUAAUGUGGAUGAACGGCCCACCGGCAGCAGCUUUCCUUCUCUUGAGGUGUGGUGGAGAUGGACUGAUGGAGCUGUACGGGGAGCUUGAGCUGCUAACGGUGAAUAGGAAAAGUGGGUCAAUGCUUGCCCGUUCCCAUGUGAAAUCCAGUGGAAAACUCCGGCAUCGACAGCCCUGAAUAAUCAAAACUGGCCGCUGCAAAAGACCGAGCAGGUAUUGAUCUACAGGCAGAGUAAAUAACAUGCUGCCUUUUGAGUAAAGCAGUGCCGGCCAGUGCUCCAAGCAUCUAAGAGACCUAUAGAGGAUAUACUUUUGCUGUAAAUAUUUGAAAAUUUGUGCGCUAACAAUCACCCUGAUGCCAGCGGGAGUUGGUUGCUUGUAAGGAGGCUGCGCUUAUGGAUUUGAUCUACUGUACUAGUAAAAAAGAUGCAUGGCUUGCAUGCAGACCAAGAUAAACUAGUAUUAUCUAAUAAAACUAACAUAAACUAAUACAAUCCCCUGAGUAGUGUUGUUAUAAAGUAGCCUAAAGCUAAUAUUUUUAAGAUUCUUUUUCUGUAAUUAAAAUAAAGAUUAAACAAAUAAUAGAUUGAAAACUUGAAUUAAACAUAAAAACAUACAUGAAAAUUUGAAGUUGCCUUGACAGCUAAAGAAAAUGAGUCUAUAAAGAAAUAUAAAAACAUAAACAAAAACUAAUGAAAAUGAUAGAAUCACAAGACAAAAAUUUAAAUUAAAACUAAAAAUAUAAAAAUAAAAUCGAAUUCUAAGCUAAUAAAUAUAUAACUAUAGUUCUGCUCCUAUGUUAGCAGCUCCCCGAUUUGAUCGCCCUUUUAGGUUGUGUGUGGAUGCUAGAAAUGUGGGUAGCAGGAGCUGUACUGCCAUAUCACCCUGCAGCCCAAGACUGGUUGCCCACUGAAGCUAAGCAGGGUUAAGCCUGGUCAGUACCUGGACGGGAGACCUCAUGGGAAAACUAGGUUGCUGUAGGAAGAGGUGUUAGUGAGGCCAGCAGUGGGUGCUCACCCUGUGGUCUGUGUGGGUCCUAACGCCCCAGUGCAGUGACAGGGACACUAUACUGACAAAAAGCACUGUCUUUCGGAUGAGACGUUAAAACUGAGGUCCUGACUCU
rnacentral:lncRNA from 1 species